UGGGGAAUUUUGGACAAUGGACGCAAGUCUGAUCCAGCCAUUCCGCGUGACGGAUGAAGGCCCUCGGGUUGUAAACUGCUUUUGUACAGAACGAAAAGGCUCUGGUUAAUACCUGGGGCUCAUGACGGUACUGUAAGAAUAAGCACCGGCUAACUACGUG
rnacentral:rRNA from 1 species